GGAGGGAAGAGGAAGAGGGAGGAUGGUGAGGAAGAAGGGUGCAAAUAUCUGAGGCUUGAGAGGAAGGCACCGCAGAAGGCGAUGAGGAAGUUCAGGCUGCCAGAAAACGCUGAUGUGUCAGCCAUUUCCGCUAAGUGCGAGAGUGGAGUGUUGAUAGUGGUUGUGGGAAAGCUACCUCCACCUCCAAAGCCCAAAACGGUGCAGGUCACCGUCGCUUGAUCCCCAACAAUUCCUCCAACGCAGCCAUUGGUGUUGA
rnacentral:misc_RNA from 1 species